CCUAUGUGCACAGCCGUUCUCCUCUCCGCUCCUUCUCCUCCCCAUAGUCUGCCUUUUUGAGUGUGGUGGCGUCCAGUCCUGGAAAGUCCAUGCCCUCCAGUAUCCUCUCUACUCUCGGUUUCUCUCUCCCAUUGAACUUUCUUCUCGGCAGUAAAGAUGGGAUGGCGUGAGGCGGCGGCAUCUGGAUCAACUUGUUCGUAGUAGUAGCAGCAAACAACGCAUGUCUCUGAAAAUCCUCCCUCUCUAAGGGCUAGGAAAAUUAUUAAUUGAUUUUUUGUGAAAACACCGUGUGCAGAUCUAAGAAAAAAGAGAAGGAAGAAUGUCGGGGGAGUUUUGUGAAGAAUAAGAAGAAGGCCAAGAGAAAAAGGAAAAGGAUCAAUGGAGGGUUCUGAUUUUAUAGAAGCUGGUAUACUUAACAGGACCCAAGCAAUCUAUCCUCUUGUGUGCAUUUGUACAAAGAAAAGAAAAUAGCUACCGCUUGUGGCAGUUAGUCAAUUGAAUCCUCUAACCUCUAGGUAACAUGCGGUGGAGGGGAAAACCUUGGGCUCCUUCACCUCUUUCUCAGCCUCACCCGGAUGCUUCUUGUUAUUGUUCUUCCUUGCUUGGCUGUUGUGGAUGCGCUAGGUUGUGUUGGUCAGGACAUGGCGUGAAGGCAGCAACGCUCAGUGUCACUCAGUAUCUUGGUUAAUGUGUGUGAAAUUUUAGAUGUAGUGCGCCAUUGAUGUUAAACUUUAUAUUUUAUUUUAGCAUCUGGGAGAAAAUUGGCCAUAACAUAACUUCAAAAUUUUCUAACACUCUUGUAUCAGCUUUAUUAGGUUUUUAUGGGUGAGCAAUUCUAGGAAAGCUAACAAUGCCUUGAAAAUAGGCUGUCAUAGUUUUUUUGAAGAUAUUUUAUUUCGGAAGGAUUUUAGUUGUACGAGUCCACGAGGGAGUGACUUUUGCUUAUUCCAAGUUCAUUCAUUGGAACCACCAUUUAGUUUGAGUACCUGCACUGCACAAUUCAAUACAUAUCAUGGAUAUAUCAUUUAGCAGUAUUUUAUAUAUGUGGAUCUUAUUAUCUUGUGGAAAAUUUGUUUCUCUAUAAUGUGUACAAUAUGUCAAUGUCUUUUUAGACCCAGAAGUGGACAAGGAGUAUAAGAGGAUCUCUGUCAGUAUAAAGAAAAAUGCAGAGAAGAUCAAGGUACGAUUAGGUCAUUGAACCUUCGAUAACUAAUUUGGAUCAGAGGUAGUAAUAGAUCUAUGUUCAUCUCUCUUUUGCACAAUAUUUCUUGAAAGGGAUGAAACAACUUUUUAACAAUAUUUGUUUUGAUCCAGCAAGAAGUGCGCAAAUCUUUAUUUUCCUGUUAGUCCAAAUGUAGCAGAGGAGAUUACAUGGGUAUGCUUUAGCACUACAAUAGCUCAUUCAAUUUGCCUUUUCACUUUUCUUUUGCUUAAACCAUGGAAGGGUUGGCCUCACGCUAUGUCAGACAUGGAGAAUUAAUUAGCCCACAAGCAAUUACUUUUAGUACCAAUUCAGAAAUGCAGUAUGCUGUGGGAAUGGAUGUUGUACACAUUGUCAAAGUGUAUAUUACUGUUUUUUUCCUCCAGAUUAUUUAGUCCAUCUAAUACUCUAAUAGAGAAAAUAUUUAUCCAUUGUGCUGGUUCAGGUUUGCCUUUCCCUCCUCUUUUCCCCCUAUCUUGAUAAACAACACUGUAUAUGUUUUUAGUAUUUUGAUUUUGCCAUUUUCAAGUGGAUGAUUAGGUUCAGAUCUUAGAUGUUGUGUGAUUUAGGUACUUUUUUGCGGUGCACAUUUUUUUAUCAUGGCCAUAUACACAUGUCUCCUAAAAGGUGCCAUGAGAUAUUUAUUGGUUGUAAAAUCUAGAGGAUUCAUAUUUGGCUGAGCGAUCGCGUUGGCCAUUGGCGCAAAAUUGGGAAACUCCCAGGUAAUCUCACCUGCAAAUUUGACCAUCCACGGGGCUGAAGAGGAUCUGGCAUGUAUUUAUAUCAAGUGUUGUUGUGCAAGUACUACAACACCCUGAAUCUAUUAACUAGCCCACUAAGCACGCAGUACUGCACUUUUCUAAAAAGUUUCUGUUGAGUAGACUCAUUAAAUUCUGCUACAAGGUGGAUCAGGCAUUGGAGAGAUAGUAAGCAUGUUCUGGUCGAUUAGGCCGCAGCUUGUCAUAGUUUACAGUCACAAUCGUAUGUACUGCUGAUUUUAUUCUCAGAGACAGUGAAGGUGACUUGAUUUCCGAGAGUUAUGUACUUGCAUAUGGAACGGAUUACUUUGAGAUGCUCCUCGGAGCCAUCGAACCAGGUGAGCUCGAUGAUUUGGUUGCAACUGAUGUGCAUGCCAAUAAAUUUGUUCUGAGAUGCACAUCGGAGCCAUCGAACCGGAUGAGCUCGAUAAUUUGGUCGCAACUGAUGGUACACCUUCUACAGCCAUAAAACUCAUUCUGCGUGCCAAAAAAAUUGUUCUGCUCAUUUUCAGUGCCAAGAGCCUGUGGUUCAGCUAUUAAGGUAGGUUCGUCCUAUGCUGCUCAGGGUGAUGGUCUGAACUGUAUUUCCAGAUAGUUGAGUGCAUAACUUGUACUUAUUUGUUCAUCAAUCCUACUCAAAUUUUAUUGAAAAUGAAGAUUCUAAGUACCUCUAAUUAAUGAGUUGCUAAUGCUCCGUACCAUUGUACAUGUGUAUUUCUGAAUGGUGAUUGACUUUGAUGCUUCGACGUGAGAAUAUGUUAAAUAUAGUCCAAAUGAAAGCUAUGCAUACCUUAGUCGGCAGUUCUACUAGGCCUCUUUUUGCCUAAAUGGAAGCACAAAUUUUCUAGCUAACUAAUCAGUCUGCAUGUUUACAUGAGUUUCAAAUUUUCACGAUUCUGUUGUAUUGUGUUUCUUUUUCUUUGUCAAAUAAUCUUUUAUUUACUACAGAAUUUGGUUUUCGUGAUUAUUUACUACGGAAUUUUUCUUUUUAUAAGAUAUGCAUCACCAUUUUUUUGGAGUAAUAUUUAGAUUAUAAUUCCAUUCCUGGUUGUACAAGUUAUGGCAUGCAUAAGUAUGAAUCGUAUGAUAAAAAUGUUAACCUGUGUUGCACCCACUCUAAAGCUGAAGAUAGUAUAUUGUUGUUUUUUUGUUUUCAUACAUUUUCCUGGUUAUUUUGUAGUGAAGCAGGAGAGCUUUAGAACUUGAGGUUUGUUUUGGCUCUAUGUUCGAAUGAUUUUUGUUCUGAUUGCAUGGCACAAGCACAUAUAUUGAUAUUGACAUAUUACCUGGAACUCUUCUACAGAAAUCUCCUGCUGUCCAUGUUCAGUUGUAUUCUCUGUAUUUUUAUCAUUUUUAAUUUAUGCAUGAUUGGACAUCAGCAUGUGUGAAUGAUGCUGCCUCUACUCAUUUGUGUCGCCAAACCCAUCCUGAUUUUCCUCCGUCCUUACUCCUCUGUAGACAGCCCUAGAUUACUUUUACCAGACAGUUCUUUUGUUAUUACCGUAGUUGUAUAUUCAGCGUUCCGGUUCAGGCCGUGAGCUUCAUAGGUUCCUUACAGUGCUUGUGUUUGCUAGCAAAUGCAAUGCAGAGCUACUGUCGGUUAUUGUAAAUGUAGAGAAUGAAUCUAUGCUCUAGAAAAAAUAGAAUCGUAUGUAUGAAAUCUGAAACAACACGAGAUUCAGGAUUAGAAUUAUAGUCUCUGCACACAUUCUCGGCUACAUAUCUAAAAUCGAAUAAACUGAUAGCAGAUGUUCAGCUGGACUUUAUUGUAGGAAAUAAAAGUUCACUGCUGCUUUUUUACACGUGGUCAGUUGAAGUUUAUUUAUAAAAAAUAAAUGUUUGCUACUACUUUCUUUACAUGAUCAAGCUUGCUUGCUCGCUUACUCCUGGUUCUCUUUUCUUUUGUAAUGCUCAUGUGCAUAUGCAAAAGGUUGGCCACACGAUGUAUGUGUUAUUUGGAAUGUAUCUUUUGUGCAAUGGACAUCCUAGGGAUCCUCACAUCUAUUGUUCCAUAAUAAGUUGCUUACGAGAGAUAACUUGGCUAUUCAUCAAACUGUUAAUGAUAACACAUGUCUGUUAUGUUCCGAGUUUGAAAGUAUGGAAUCAUCUAUUUUUUUAAUUUGAUAUUGAUAAGACUGUUUGGUCUAUUUUUUCUAACACCUUAGAGUUUGACCUGGGAAAUAAUCCAAGAUACUCUUUUUUUGCUCUAAAUGGCGACAAACAGAAAUUCGGUCUUUGCUAGAAGAAUUAGUGUUCUAUUUUGUACAGUACAAAUGAAUCUUUUGUUGACUUAUAUUAUUUAUUAACUAUUACAAUUUGAUAUAUCUAGGUAAUUAUCUUUUAUUGAGAUCAGUUCCUCCUUUAAAGAUUUCACUUGGAAAUGAGGUAUGUACCAUGUAAAAUCCCAAAUUGUAUGCAUUCGCUUAUAAGGUAGUGUCUUUGUAUUGAAGAACCACUUCCACGCGUUUGUAGACGGAAAAGAGAGAUGGCUAGCUAUUCAUAUGUUAAAUAUAUCCCUCUCUUUCUAUAGAAACACAAAGGGACAACUGUAACACUCUAGACAUACAUUUAGAUGCUGGAGCUUGAUAGGAUGUAUCAAGUAAAGAAAGUUGCUUUGAUUCUUCUUUCAGCUAUGCUUACUUCUAGACUUCUUUUUGUUGCAUCACUUCAUUUACUAGGUUUCUCCAAAGGAUAAAAAAAUGGUGCUGAAACUAUAUGUACUCUUGGUUUUAAGCUACCCAAACAAGGUUGGAGCCAGGCCACAAAGUGUAAUUACUGCUUGAAUUUUUUAUGUACGCAUCGAGUGUCCAAGUUCGCGAUUAUAGUGACAAUAACGCAAUAAAUAUAUUUUAUUUAUGGUUGCCUUAGUGGCCUAUUUGUAUAGUACACCAUCUCUCAUCUUGAUUUAUUCCAUUACCCAUCCUGCUUUUAUACAAUAACGCAAUAAAUAUAUUUUAUUUAUGGUUGCCUUAGUGGGCUAUUCGUAUAGUACACCAUCUCUCAUCUUGAUUUAUUCCAUUACCCAUCCUGAUUUUAUAGCUGUCGUAACCUUUAACUUGUGCUAGAUUCAGGCUUUGCCACAAAUCGUUCCAGGUUUGUAGAUUUUAUCAGUACCUAAUAGCUGCGUAACCAUUCGUUCUGGUGCAUGGAAAUUAGACAGUCUAUUUGGAUUUUAGUGUGUUGCCACUUGCAAAGUUAAGCGUCACUGUCUCGCUAAGCGUACUGUUGUGUCCACAUGAUUUGAUACCUGCCUAAUUAUGCAUAUGUUUUUCCAGGAAGAUGGUAUCUUGCUUCUUAUGGUCAGAUUAGGUGUAUUUAAUUAUAUUAGCUUUGUUCAAUUUGUUUUUAAUGCUACAGGCUUAUCUCUUAUCGUCCAUUUCAAUAAAGGCAGCGAUUGUACCCACCUAGGAGCUACACGACCACAUAUCAGUUAUGGACCUUUGCUCAGCAGUCUCCCUCUCGAACUUGAUGGAAGGAUCUUUUAAAAAUAAGCUUGUCUUAUAAGGUUAAGCUCAUGUAAAAACUCACUUUUCUACUCAGUAACACAUUUUGGUGUAGUAGAAUUUCUUUGUUUGUUAUAGUAGAAAACCAAUCUUAGGUUCAUCGCGUUUUAUUUUUCUGUCAAAUUGUGCUAUUAGAAAUAUGAUUACUUCUCAAGGUCUGUCUAUCGAUCAAAGACAUGGUUAUGGCUGUUUUGAAUAUUUA